rnacentral:rRNA from 1 species
GACGAACGCUGGCGGCGUGCUUAACACAUGCAAGUCGAACGGAAAGGCCCCUUUUGGGGUACUCGAGUGGCGAACGGGUGAGUAACACGUGAGUAACCUACCCUUGACUUCGGGAUAACUUCAGGAAACUGGGGCUAAUACCGGAUAGGAAUCCUUGCUGCAUGGUGGGGGUUGGAAAGCUUCGGCGGUUUUGGAUGGACUCGCGGCUUAUCAGCUUGUUGGUGGGGUAGUGGCUUACCAAGGCUUUGACGGGUAGCCGGCCUGAGAGGGCGACCGGCCACAUUGUGACUGAGAAACGGCCCAGACUCCUACGGGAGGCAGCAGUGGGGAAUAUUGCACAAGGGGCGGAAGCCUGAUGCAGCAACGCCGCGUGCGGGAUGACGGCCUUCGGGUUGUAAAACGCUUUCAGCAGGGGCGAAGCUUGUGGUGACGGUACCUGCAGAAGAAGCACCGGCUAACUACGUG